CUUGAAGGGGGGCCAAAUUGUUGCUCUGCGGGGCGUCUCCAGGUCAGCCUGCCGGUGACGCGGGGUGGGGAGGCUGCACAGCUACUCUGCAUCUGUGGGUCCCAGACCUUGGUGUGAGGAGGUGACAGCAGACAAUGCUCACCCACUCCACAGAGACCUCUCAGCCCUGGCACCACUUGCUAGCUGAAAACUUUCCUGCCCAUCUUUCCCUGCUCAGACACCUCGCCCUACUCUCCAGACAUUCUCCCGCGCUCUUCUUUGUCUCUCAAGGGAGUCCCUUUUACAAACACUUUCCUGUCUGGUCACGUAGGCCCUCAGAUUCUCCUUUCUAGUUUUCUAUUUCCACUUGAAAACUCCACCCUUCUCCUUUUCACGCUCUUUGAACAACCAACCCCUUGGAAAUGCCAUCUAAAGGGGUUUGGGUGUAAAGUGGGAAAAGGAGAUGCUGAGAGGACACUGGAGGUGUUGACUGAGGCACCUGACUGUAGUGAGUCACUGCAGACAGCAGCUCUGCCUCCCCUGCCAAGGUGGUGGUUAUGGCCUGGGGCAGGUAGUAGAGACCUAUGAUCCUGUAUCCUUUCGCCCUUGUGUUCUUCUCAUGCCCUGGCUCCUGGACUGUGCUGCAGCAACAGGACUUAAUAUAGGACACUAGAAAGGAGAAGUUUCUGAAAUAUUUGUGCGUGAUAAGGAAGCAAUGAGAGCCGAUGGUCCUGUCGUCUGCCCUGCUGUUCCUCCGAGGCCUCGGCCCAGCUCUUUCAGAAAUCUCCAGUUUUUACCCAUUCUUGAGAUAAAGAGAAGAAUUUCUGACAUAGAGAUGAUGUGGUAUCUUUGACCUACUGGCCAGAAAUAGGGAAGCCAAGAGGUGCUCUCUAGAGAUGGGAAACUGAAGAGGAAUGUGUUUGAGCAUGAGUCUUAGGUACAGUCAAGGGUCUCAACAGGAGACUGACUUAGAGCAUCAGUACACUACAUGGGCUGGGAGUCAGAAGACCUGGUGAUCACCCCUCUGGGAACACAGCAGAUUGCCAGAUCAUUCUUCCAAGGAGCCUCUGGUGGACUCAAACCUCCAACCUUUUGGUUAGCAGCCAAUUCUUCAGGAACAUUCCUGGGAUGAUGUGACCAAGGCUUGGUCACCAGAGGACAAAGGAUUAGAGCAGAACAGCCAGUCCACCAGUCUUCUCU